AACGCACCUUGCACUCACUGGUAUUCCGGUGAGUACGCCUGUUUCAGUAUCAUUGAAAACCCACAACCAAAUAUUUUUUUUAAAUGUUUGGUUGGACUUGGGCUAUUAGUUUGGUUAGUCAUGGUAUUAAUUUUUAAUGCCAAACGACAAAACCAAGCAGCCUGGAAUUUAGUAAUGGUCAAUUGUAUCGUAGUAAUCAUUAUACAAGGCCUGAGCUUUAUAAACGAACUGGACUUUUUGAUUUGACCAGUUUUAGCUCUAGUCAUUGGGAUUACCGUAAAUCGAUCUUGGCUUAAAGGUUCCUAGUCAGUUUCGGCUGUCUAAAACCAAUACCAAAUCAUUUUCUCAGUAUCGAUCUGAAAUCAGGUGGGACUACCCGCUGAACUUAA
rnacentral:misc_RNA from 1 species